rnacentral:lncRNA from 1 species
CUCCAGAAGGGGCCGGAGACCAAAGGUCAGCCAUGUGGGCCAUAUGUGAUCAAGCUCCAGUAAAAACUCUGGACACCAAAGGCUUGGAGGUUUAAGGGGCACUGACCCAACACUCUGGGACUCAACACCGUCACACUGGCUGGGAAUGGGAGAAGCAUGGCAUAGGAGUUAAAGUCAUAGUGGAAAGUGUGGAGCUGCCAGGAGAGAGGAGGGGUUGCAUCAUAUGGUGACAAAAGAAUGAAUCCCACCCAGAGGAAGCAGAGCCAAGAAAUGGAUCCCUGUUGUUUGAGUCCUGGAUCAAAUCGUGCCUGGAUCCCCAGUGAGCCAAUAAAUUUUCCUUAUUGCUUCA